GAUCAUGGCUCAGGAUGAACGCUGGCGGCGUGCUUAACACAUGCAAGUCGAGCGAAGCACUUAGGAAAGAUUCUUCGGAUGAUUUCCUAUUUGACUGAGCGGCGGACGGGUGAGUAACGCGUGGGUAACCUGCCUCAUACAGGGGGAUAACGGUUAGAAAUGACUGCUAAUACCGCAUAAGACCACAGCACUGCAUGGUGCAGGGGUAAAAACUCCGGUGGUAUGAGAUGGACCCG
rnacentral:rRNA from 1 species